rnacentral:rRNA from 1 species
AUGAACGCUAGCUACAGGCUUAACACAUGCAAGUCGAGGGGCAGCAUGAUUGAAGCUUGCUUCAAUUGAUGGCGACCGGCGCACGGGUGAGUAACACGUAUCCAACCUGCCGAUAACUCGGGGAUAGCCUUUCGAAAGAAAGAUUAAUACCCGAUAGCAUAGUAUUUCCGCAUGGUUUCACUAUUAAAGAAUUUCGGUUAUCGAUGGGGAUGCGUUCCAUUAGAUAGUUGGCGGGGUAACGGCCCACCAAGUCAACGAUGGAUAGGGGUUCUGAGAGGAAGGUCCCCCACAUUGGAACUGAGACACGGUCCAAACUCCUACGGGAGGCAGCAGUGAGGAAUAUUGGUCAAUGGACGAGAGUCUGAACCAGCCAAGUAGCGUGAAGGAUGACUGCCCUAUGGGUUGUAAACUUCUUUUAUACGGGAAUAAAGUGGAGUAUGCAUACUCCUUUGUAUGUACCGUAUGAAUAAGGAUCGGCUAACUCCGUGCCAGCAGCCGCGGUAAUACGGAGGAUCCGAGCGUUAUCCGGAUUUAUUGGGUUUAAAGGGAGCGUAGGCGGGUGCUUAAGUCAGUUGUGAAAGUUUGCGGCUCAACCGUAAAAUUGCAGUUGAUACUGGGUACCUUGAGUGCAGCAUAGGUAGGCGGAAUUCGUGGUGUAGCGGUGAAAUGCUUAGAUAUCACGAAGAACUCCUAUUGCGAAGGCAGCUUACUGGACUGUAACUGACGCUGAUGCUCGAAAGUGUGGGUAUCAAACAGGAUUAGAUACCCUGGUAGUCCACACAGUAAACGAUGAAUACUCGCUGUUGGCGAUACACAGUCAGCGGCCAAGCGAAAGCAUUAAGUAUUCCACCUGGGGAGUACGCCGGCAACGGUGAAACUCAAAGGAAUUGACGGGGGCCCGCACAAGCGGUGGAGCAUGUGGUUUAAUUCGAAGCAACGCGAAGAACCUUACCAGGUCUUGACAUCGAUCUAAAAGGGAUGGAGACAUCCUCAUAGCUAUAGAGAAGACAGGUGGUGCAUGGUUGUCGUCAGCUCGUGCCGUGAGGUGUCGGCUUAAGUGCCAUAACGAGCGCAACCCUUAUCUAUAGUUACUAUCAGGUCAUGCUGAGGACUCUAUGGAGACUGCCGUCGUAAGAUGUGAGGAAGGUGGGGAUGACGUCAAAUCAGCACGGCCCUUACGUCCGGGGCUACACACGUGUUACAAUGGGGGGUACAGAAGGCAGCUACCUGGCGACAGGAUGCUAAUCCCAAAAACCUCUCUCAGUUCGGAUUGGAGUCUGCAACCCGACUCCAUGAAGCUGGAUUCGCUAGUAAUCGCGCAUCAGCCACGGCGCGGUGAAUACGUUCCCGGGCCUUGUACACACCGCCCGUCAAGCCAUGAAAGCCGGGGGUACCUGAAGUACGUAACCGCAAGGAGCGUCCUAGGGUAAAACUGGUGAUUGGGGCU